CUUCUUGUGGUGUAGCGGUAUAUCACACGAGCUGUAGAAGCUUGAAAUGUCGGUUCGACUCCGUCCGAGAAGU